AUACGUAGGAUGCGAGCGUUGUCCGGAUUUAUCGGGCGUAAAGAGCGCGCAGGCGGUUAGGAAAGUUGGAUGUGAAAGACCCUGGCUUAACUAGGGGAGGUCAUUCAAAACUAUCUAGCUUGAGGGCAGCAGAGGAAAGUGGAAUUCCCGGUGUAGUGGUGAUAUGCGUAGAUAUCGGGAGGAACACCAGUGGCGAAGGCGGCUUUCUGGGCUGUCACUGACGCUGAGGCGCGAAAGCGUGGGUAGCGAACCGAAUUAGAUACUCGGGUAGUCCACGCCGUAAACGAUGGACACUAGGUGUAGGGGGUAUCGACCCCCCCUGUGCCGAAGCUAACGCAUUAAGUGUCCCGCCUGGGGAGUACGGCCGCAAGGCUAAA
rnacentral:rRNA from 1 species